GACGAACGCUGGCGGCGUGCCUAAUACAUGCAAGUAGGACGCAGUUGCGAACGGGUGAGUAACGCGUAGGUAACUGCCUAUUAGAGGGGGAUAACUAUUGGAAACGAUUGCUACUACCGCAUACUAGUAGAUGGACCUUCGUUGUAUUAGCUAGUAGGUAGGGUAAUGGCCUACCUAGGCGACGAUACAUAGCCGACCUGGGAGGGUGAUGGGCCAACCUGGGAAUGAGACACGGCCCAGACUCCUACGGGAGGCAGCAGUAGGGAAUCUUCGGCAAUGGGGGGAAACCUGACCAAGCAACGCCGCGUGAGUGAAGAAGGGUUUCGGAUCUUAAAGCUCUGUUGUUAAGGAAGCGGUACUUAACCAGAAAGGGACGGCUAACUACGUGCCAGCAGCCGCGGUAAUUC
rnacentral:rRNA from 1 species